rnacentral:rRNA from 1 species
GACGAACGCUGGCGGCGUGCUUAACACAUGCAAGUCGAACGGAAAGGCCCUGCUUUUGUGGGGUGCUCGAGUGGCGAACGGGUGAGUAACACGUGAGUAACCUGCCCUUGACUUUGGGAUAACUUCAGGAAACUGGGGCUAAUACCGGAUAGGAGCUCCUGCUGCAUGGUGGGGGUUGGAAAGUUUCGGCGGUUGGGGAUGGACUCGCGGCUUAUCAGCUUGUUGGUGGGGUAGUGGCUUACCAAGGCUUUGACGGGUAGCCGGCCUGAGAGGGUGACCGGCCACAUUGGGACUGAGAUACGGCCCAGACUCCUACGGGAGGCAGCAGGGGGGAAUAUUGCACAAUGGGCGGAAGCCUGAUGCAGCAACGCCGCGUGCGGAAUGACGGCCUUCGGGUUGUAAACCGCUUUCGCCGGUGACGAAGCGGGAGUGACGGUAAUGGGUAAAGAAGCACCGGCUAACUACGUG